rnacentral:rRNA from 1 species
CCAAGCUACUAAGGGUCAACGGUGAAUGCCUUGGCGCCUACUACCGAAGAAGGACGUGGACGGCUGCGAAAAGCCACGGGGAUCUGCCUAUCUAGAGUUGAUCCGUGGAUAUCCGAAUAGGGAAACCUGGUACUCGUAACGGAGUACCACGCCGGUCUGAAUACAUAGGGCCGGCCGAGGGAACCGGGUGAAUUGAAACAUCUAAGUAACCCGAGGAAAAGAAAGCAAAAGCGACACCCCGAGUAGCGGCGAGCGAAACGGGUAGAGCCUAAACCAUUCUGGUGUCAAGCCUGACGGCAUUGCCAGGGUGGGGUCGUGGGACCGAAUAGGAGGGGCGUCAGACCUUCCACAGAGUUACAAAUCUGUCAGUUAGCAGAAGUGUUUUGGAAAAGCACGCCGCAGUGGGUAAUAGCCCCGUAAGCGAAAACUGUACAGACUCUGUUUCGUCAUCCCGAGUAACACCGGAUCCGGGAAAGCCGGUGUGAAUCUGCGAGGACCACCUCGUAAGGCUAAGUAUAGGUAGGCGACCGAUAGUGAACUAGUACCGUGAGGGAAAGGUGAAAAGUACCCCGGGAGGGGAGUGAAAUAGUACCUGAAACCGUUGAUCUACAAUCAGUCAAAGCGUCGUCUCGAGUUUACUCGAGGCCGCAAUGGCGUGCCUUUUGAAGAAUGAGCCAACGAGUUACGGUGUGUGGCAAGGUUAACCCGUGAGGGGAAGCCGGAGCGAAAGCGAGUCUGAAUAGGGCGUUCAGUCGCAUGCUGUAGACCCGAAGCUGAGUGAUCUAUCCAUGGGCAGUGUGAAGCGGAGGUAAGACUCCGUGGAGGCGCGAACCGACCUAGGUUGAAAACUGGGCGGAUGACCUGUGGAUAGGGGUGAAAGGCCAAUCAAACUCAGUGAUAGCUGGUUCUCCGCGAAAUGCAUUUAGGUGCAGCGUCGUAUGUUCAGCCAUGGAGGUAGAGCACUGGAUGGGUUAGGGGGCCUACAAGCUUACCAACCCCAGCCAAACUCCGAAUGCCAUGGCUCUAGAGUACGGCAGUGAGUCCUCGGGGGAUGAGCUUCGAUGGACGAGAGGGAAACAGCCCAGACCGCCGACUAAGGUCCCAAAGUUAAGACUAAGUGGUAAACGAAGUGGGAUUGCCCAGACAGCCAGGAUGUUGGCUUAGAAGCAGCCAUCAUUUAAAGAGUGCGUAACAGCUCACUGGUCGAGUGGUCCCGCGCGGAAAAUGUAACGGGGCUCAAGUCUUACACCGAAGUCGCGGAUUUCUACUUUUAAGUAGGAGUGGUAGCGGAGCGUCGAGUCUGCAGUGAAGCGCCGGUGAAAACCGUCGUGGAGCGGGCUCGAGCGAGAAUGUUGGCAUAAGUAGCGAGAGAGGGGUGAGAAACCCCUCCGCCGAAAGUCCAAGGGUUCCUGGGCAAGGCUAAUCCUCCCAGGGUAAGUCGGGAGCUAAGGCGAGGCCGAGAGGCGUAGUCGAUGCACAACCGGUUGAUAUUCCGGUACCACGGAUUGCGCGUAAAACGCCAACCCACGGUUGCUAAGGGGAUGCCUAGUCCUUCGGGAUUAGGAGGAACUGACCCACUGUGGUUAGGUGAGUGAUGCAGGGACGCAGGAAGGUAAAUGAACCCAGGCGAUGGUUGUCCUGGGGCAAGCGUGUAGGUCGAGGCGUAGGUAAGUCCGCUCCUCAUAAAGACUGAGACGUGAUGCCGAGCCGUAUUAGGCGAAGUCAUUAAUCCUAUGCUGCCGAGAAAAGCUGCUAGCGAGUGCAAUCAGUGCCCGUACCCCAAACCAACUCAGGUGGACAGGUAGAGAAUACUAAGGCGAUUGGGAGAACUAUGGUUAAGGAACUCGGCAAAAUACAUCCGUAACUUCGGGAUAAGGAUGACCUCAUUAGGGUUACAGGCUUUACGCCUGGAAGCUCGAAGAGGUGGCACAGACCAGAGGAAAGCGACUGUUUACUAAAAACACAGCAGCGUGCUAAGUCCUAAGACGACGUAUACGCUGUGACGCCUGCCCGGUGCUGGAAGGUUACGGGGAAAGGUUAGCCUUCGGGCGAAGCUUUGAACCUAAGCCCCAGUAAACGGCGGCCGUAACUAUAACGGUCCUAAGGUAGCGAAAUUCCUUGUCGGGUAAGUCUCAACCAUAGACCCAGCGAAAUUGAAGUACGAGUAAAGAUGCUCGUUAGCUGCAGAAGGACGGAAAGACCCCGUGGACCUUUACUACAGUUUGGUAUUGGUAUUUGUUUAGCGUUGUGUAGGAUAGGUGGGAGAUUUGGAAGCGUUGGCGCCAGCCAGCGUGGAAUCACCCUUGAAAUACCACCCUGCGUUUGACGGAUAUCUAACCUAGGCCCGUGAUCCGGGCCGGGGACCGUGCCAGAUGGGUAGUUUGACUGGGGCGGUCGCCUCCUAAAGUGUAACGGAGGCGCCCAAAGGUUCUCUCAGUCUGGUUGGCAAUCAGACGACGAGUGCAAUGGCAUAAGAGAGCUUAACUGCGAGACCUACAAGUCGAGCAGGUGCGAAAGCAGGGCAUAGUGAUCCGGCGGUUGCGUGUGGAAGCGCCGUCGCUCAACGGAUAAAAG